rnacentral:rRNA from 1 species
GACGAACGCUGUCGGCGUGCUUAACACAUGCAAGUCGAACGAAGUGGCGAACGGGUGAGUAACGCGUAAUCAACCUGCCCUUCAGAGGGGGACAACAGUUGGAAACGAUUGCUAAUACCUCAUACUGAAGGUGGGGAUUGCGUCUGAUUAGCUAGUUGGAGGGGUAAAGGCCCACCAAGGCGAUGUUCAGUAGCCGGGCUGGAAGGGGUGACGGCCAAAUUGGGAAUGAGAAACGGCUCAGACCCCUACGGGGGGGAGCAGGUGGGAAUUUUCCGCAAUUGAGGGAAAGCUGACGGAACAAAGCCGCGUGAUGGAUGACGGCCUUCGGGUUGUAAAGCUCUGUUAAUCGGGACGCGGUACCUGAAUAGAAAGCCACGGCUAACUACGUGCCAGCAGCCGCGGUAAUUC